rnacentral:rRNA from 1 species
UAAGCGACUAAGCGUACACGGUGGAUGCCCUGGCAGUCAGAGGCGAUGAAGGACGUUCUAAUCUGCGAUAAGCGUCGGUAAGGUGAUAUGAACCGUUAUAACCGGCGAUUUCCGAAUGGGGAAACCCAGUGUGAUUCGUCACACUAUCAUUAACUGAAUCCAUAGGUUAAUGAGGCGAACCGGGGGAACUGAAACAUCUAAGUAACCCCGAGGAAAAGAAAUCAACCGAGAUUCCCCCAGUAGCGGCGAGCGAACGGGGAGCAGCCCAGAGCCUGAAUCAGUGUGUGUGUUAGUGGAAGCGUCUGGAAAGGCGCGCGAUACAGGGUGACAGCCCCGUACACAAAAAUGCACAUACUGUGAGCUCGAUGAGUAGGGCGGGACACGUGGUAUCCUGUCUGAAUAUGGGGGGACCAUCCUCCAAGGCUAAAUACUCCUGACUGACCGAUAGUGAACCAGUACCGUGAGGGAAAGGCGAAAAGAACCCCGGCGAGGGGAGUGAAAAAGAACCUGAAACCGUGUACGUACAAGCAGUGGGAGCACAGAGCAAUCUGUGUGACUGCGUACCUUUUGUAUAAUGGGUCAGCGACUUAUAUUCUGUAGCAAGGUUAACCGAAUAGGGGAGCCGAAGGGAAACCGAGUCUUAACUGGGCGUUAAGUUGCAGGGUAUAGACCCGAAACCCGGUGAUCUAGCCAUGGGCAGGUUGAAGGUUGGGUAACACUAACUGGAGGACCGAACCGACUAAUGUUGAAAAAUUAGCGGAUGACUUGUGGCUGGGGGUGAAAGGCCAAUCAAACCGGGAGAUAGCUGGUUCUCCCCGAAAGCUAUUUAGGUAGCGCCUCGUGAAUUCAUCUCCGGGGGUAGAGCACUGUUUCGGCAAGGGGGUCAUCCCGACUUACCAACCCGAUGCAAACUGCGAAUACCGGAGAAUGUUAUCACGGGAGACACACGGCGGGUGCUAACGUCCGUCGUGAAGAGGGAAACAACCCAGACCGCCAGCUAAGGUCCCAAAGUCAUGGUUAAGUGGGAAACGAUGUGGGAAGGCCCAGACAGCCAGGAUGUUGGCUUAGAAGCAGCCAUCAUUUAAAGAAAGCGUAAUAGCUCACUGGUCGAGUCGGCCUGCGCGGAAGAUGUAACGGGGCUAAACCAUGCACCGAAGCUGCGGCAGCGACGCUUAUGCGUUGUUGGGUAGGGGAGCGUUCUGUAAGCCUUUGAAGGUGUACUGUGAGGUAUGCUGGAGGUAUCAGAAGUGCGAAUGCUGACAUAAGUAACGAUAAAGCGGGUGAAAAGCCCGCUCGCCGGAAGACCAAGGGUUCCUGUCCAACGUUAAUCGGGGCAGGGUGAGUCGACCCCUAAGGCGAGGCCGAAAGGCGUAGUCGAUGGGAAACAGGUUAAUAUUCCUGUACUUGGUGUUACUGCGAAGGGGGGACGGAGAAGGCUAUGUUGGCCGGGCGACGGUUGUCCCGGUUUAAGCGUGUAGGCUGGUUUUCCAGGCAAAUCCGGAAAAUCAAGGCUGAGGCGUGAUGACGAGGCACUACGGUGCUGAAGCAACAAAUGCCCUGCUUCCAGGAAAAGCCUCUAAGCAUCAGGUAACAUCAAAUCGUACCCCAAACCGACACAGGUGGUCAGGUAGAGAAUACCAAGGCGCUUGAGAGAACUCGGGUGAAGGAACUAGGCAAAAUGGUGCCGUAACUUCGGGAGAAGGCACGCUGAUAUGUAGGUGAAGCGACUUGCUCAUGGAGCUGAAAUCAGUCGAAGAUACCAGCUGGCUGCAACUGUUUAUUAAAAACACAGCACUGUGCAAACACGAAAGUGGACGUAUACGGUGUGACGCCUGCCCGGUGCCGGAAGGUUAAUUGAUGUGGUCAGCGCAAGCGAAGCUCUUGAUCGAAGCCCCGGUAAACGGCGGCCGUAACUAUAACGGUCCUAAGGUAGCGAAAUUCCUUGUCGGGUAAGUUCCGACCUGCACGAAUGGCGUAAUGAUGGCCAGGCUGUCUCCACCCGAGACUCAGUGAAAUUGAACUCGCUGUGAAGAUGCAGUGUACCCGCGGCAAGACGGAAAGACCCCGUGAACCUUUACUAUAGCUUGACACUGAACAUUGAGCCUUGAUGUGUAGGAUAGGUGGGAGGCUUUGAAGUGUGGACGCCAGUCUGCAUGGAGCCGACCUUGAAAUACCACCCUUUAAUGUUUGAUGUUCUAACGUGGACCCGUAAUCCGGGUUGCGGACAGUGUCUGGUGGGUAGUUUGACUGGGGCGGUCUCCUCCUAAAGAGUAACGGAGGAGCACGAAGGUUGGCUAAUCCUGGUCGGACAUCAGGAGGUUAGUGCAAUGGCAUAAGCCAGCUUGACUGCGAGCGUGACGGCGCGAGCAGGUGCGAAAGCAGGUCAUAGUGAUCCGGUGGUUCUGAAUGGAAGGGCCAUCGCUCAACGGAUAAAAGGUACUCCGGGGAUAACAGGCUGAUACCGCCCAAAGAGUUCAUAUCGACGGCGGUGUUUGGCACCUCGAUGUCGGCUCAUCACAUCCUGGGGCUGAAGUAGGUCCCAAGGGUAUGGCUGUUCGCCAUUUAAAGUGGUACGCGAGCUGGGUUUAGAACGUCGUGAGACAGUUCGGUCCCUAUCUGCCGUGGGCGCUGGAGAACUGAGGGGGGCUGCUCCUAGUACGAGAGGACCGGAGUGGACGCAUCACUGGUGUUCGGGUUGUCAUGCCAAUGGCACUGCCCGGUAGCUAAAUGCGGAAGAGAUAAGUGCUGAAAGCAUCUAAGCACGAAACUUGCCCCGAGAUGAGUUCUCCCUGACUCCUUGAGAGUCCUGAAGGAACGUUGAAGACGACGACGUUGAUAGGCCGGGUGUGUAAGCGCAGCGAUGCGUUGAGCUAACCGGUACUAAUGAACCGUGAGGCUUAACCU